rnacentral:rRNA from 1 species
GUGAGGAAUCUUCCGCAAUGGGCGCAAGCCUGACGGAGCAACGCCGCGUGAGUGAAGAAGGCCUUCGGGUCGUAAAGCUCUGUCUUUAGGGAAGAAAAGCUUUUGUAUGAAUAAUGCAGAGGAAAUGACGGUACCUGAGGAGGAAGCUCCGGCUAACUACGUGCCAGCAGCCGCGGUAAUACGUAGGGAGCGAGCGUUGUCCGGAAUUACUGGGCGUAAAGGGCGCGUAGGCGGGUGAUUAAGUCAGAUGUGAAAACUGAGGGCUCAACCCUGAGACUGCAUUUGAAACUGGUCAUCUUGAGGGCAGGAGAGGAAAGUGGAAUUCCUAGUGUAGCGGUGAAAUGCGUAGAUAUUAGGAGGAACACCAGUGGCGAAGGCGACUUUCUGGACUGUACCUGACGCUGAGGCGCGAAAGCGUGGGGAGCGAACAGGA